CCUACGGGGUGCAGCAGUGGGGAAUAUUGGACAAUGGGCGAAAGCCUGAUCCAGCCAUGCCGCGUGUGUGAAGAAGGCCUUCGGGUUGUAAAGCACUUUCAGUGGGGAAGAAAGCCUUGGGGCUAAUACCCUCGAGGAAGGACAUCACCCACAGAAGAAGCACCGGCUAACUCCGUGCCAGCAGCCGCGGUAAUACGGAGGGUGCGAGCGUUAAUCGGAAUUACUGGGCGUAAAGCGCGCGUAGGCGGUCUGAUAAGCCGGUUGUGAAAGCCCCGGGCUCAACCUGGGAACGGCAUCCGGAACUGUCAGGCUAGAGUGCAGGAGAGGAAGGUAGAAUUCCCGGUGUAGCAGUGAAAUGCGUAGAGAUCGGGAGGAAUACCAGUGGCGAAGGCGGCCUUCUGGACUGACACUGACGCUGAGGUGCGAAAGCGUGGGUAGCAAACAGGAUUAGAUACCCUUGUAGUC
rnacentral:rRNA from 1 species